UGGGGAAUAUUGCACAAUGGGGGAAACCCUGAUGCAGCGACGCCGCGUGAGCGAAGAAGUAUUUCGGUAUGUAAAGCUCUAUCAGCAGGGAAGAAAAUGACGGUACCUGACUAAGAAGCCCCGGCUAACUACGUGCCAGCAGCCGCGGUAAUACGUAGGGGGCAAGCGUUAUCCGGAUUUACUGGGUGUAAAGGGAGCGUAGACGGAUGAGCAAGUCUGAUGUGAAAGGUGGGGGCUCAACUCCCAAACUGCAUUGGAAACUGUUCAUCUUGAGUGCCGGAGAGGUAAGCGGAAUUCCUAGUGUAGCGGUGAAAUGCGUAGAUAUUAGGAGGAACACCAGUGGCGAAGGCGGCUUACUGGACGGUAACUGACGUUGAGGCUCGAAAGCGUGGGGAGCAAACAGG
rnacentral:rRNA from 1 species